rnacentral:lncRNA from 1 species
CGGAAUCUCGGACUGGUGGGUCGGUUGUUGUCGGACAGGUUGUCAUGCCUCCAUCACCGCCUACAGACGAGGAAAUUGAGCAGGUGAGGUUUCAGGCAGUUUAUGAGUCCGUCGUUUUCUCUCGACAGACUUGCACUGGUUCAAGUUCUCCUGAUUGCUUCGGCGUGUUGGAGCAGAAUAACAAUUUUGUCCAUGAGCGGCACUUCAGUUCAUUGCGGCGCCUUUGUUCCGUGGUAAGUUGACACUUUUGGUACCUGCUACUGAUCAUUUUUGGACCGUGAGGAAUCACCCAUUCUUAUGCGAUUCAGAAGUUGAACUUCACUUUUGAUCCUCUAUUGCACUGAUAAAGCACGCAAUUAUCAUGCAUUUUGGUUGUUCUGAUCAAUAGAAGUAGUCUUAGCAACCAUUUACAAUUAAUAUGAAAGAUUCGUACCAUUAAAAUCAGUACAUCGAAUAGUACAGCUUGCUAGUUAUAUUCAGUGUGAGUUAUCAAUUGCAUUCACUGUUUUCUUUUCAUGCAUUUUGCUACUUUGUUUCGUAAAAUUAGGGUGUAUCAAGUAAUUCUUCAUCAUUGUUUAAAUUAUUAGUUUGUUUGUAUAGGUGUUACAUAAAUGAAAUUUUUAUCAUGAAAUAUCAUGAUUUCAAAA